rnacentral:rRNA from 1 species
CCUGUUUAACAAAAACAUGUCUUUUUGAAUUAUUUAUAAAGUCUGACCUGCCCACUGAAUAUUUAAAUGGCCGCAGUAUUUUAACUGUGCAAAGGUAGCAUAAUCAUUAGUCUUUUAAUUGAAGGCUGGUAUGAACGGUUGGACGAGGUAUAAGCUGUUUCAUAUAAAUUUAUAGUAGAAUUUUAUAUUUUAGUUAAAAAGCUAAAAUGGUGUUAAAAGACGAGAAGACCCUAUAAAUCUUUAUAUUUAAUAUAAUUUGGAUUUUUUGGAUUUGGUUUAUUUUUAUUGUAUUAAUUAUUUUGUUGGGGUGAUAUUAAAAUUUAAUGAACUUUUAAUUAUUUUAGAUCAUUUAUUUAUGUAUUAUUGAUCCAUUAUUAUUGAUUAUAAGAUUAAGUUACUUUAGGGAUAACAGCGUAAUUUUUUUGGAGAGUUCAUAUCGAUAAAAAAGUUUGCGACCUCGAUGUUGGAUUAAGAUAUAUUUUAAGGUGCAGUUGCUUAAA